AACUUUUUGUGGUAUGGGGACCAGUGUUUAUAAUACUUACCAUUGAUUUUCAUUGAUUUUUGUAGUGUGAUAUGCAGUUUGUUUCUUUUCCUCUUCCUAUAUUGAUUUUUAGAUCUAUCUUUUGGAUCAGCACCAACACUACGAUAGGCUGCUUGAGUAUCUUGACACGACCACUCCAUUUUCUGGAUUUGGCAUAAAAAAGAUGGGAGAGUCUAAGGUUCAACGAGUUAAUACUUAUGGCAUGCAGUGUGCUCAUCUGCAGAUGGACGACAGACAAUCAAAAACAGCUUUAGAAGAGGGAAAACUCGAAG